rnacentral:rRNA from 1 species
GACGAACGCUGGCGGCGUGCUUAACACAUGCAAGUCGAACGGAAAGGCCCUGCUUUUGUGGGGUGCUCGAGUGGCGAACGGGUGAGUAACACGUGAGUAACCUGCCCUUGACUUUGGGAUAACUUCAGGAAACUGGGGCUAAUACCGGAUAGGAGCUCCUGCUGCAUGGUGGGGGUUGGAAAGUUUCGGCGGUUGGGGAUGGACUCGCGGCUUAUCAGCUUGUUGGUGGGGUAGUGGCUUACCAAGGCUUUGACGGGUAGCCGGCCUGAGAGGGUGACCGGCCACAUUGGGACUGAGAUACGGCCCAGACUCCUACGGGAGGCAGCAGUGGGGAAUAUGGCACAAUGGGCGGAAGCCUGAUGCAGCGACGCCGCGUGCGGGAUGACGGCCUUCGGGUUGUAAACCGCUUUCGCCUGUGACGAAGCGUGAGUGACGGUAAUGGGUAAAGAAGCACCGGCUAACUACGUG